GACGUAGGGCGCGAGCGUUGUCCGGAUUUAUUGGGCGUAAAGAGCUCGUAGGCGGCUUGUCGCGUCGACUGUGAAAUCCCGCGGCUCAACCGCGGGCUUGCGGCCGAUACGGGCAGGCUCGAGUUCGGUAGGGGAGACUGGAAUUCCUGGUGUAGCGGUGAAAUGCGCAGAUAUCAGGAGGAACACCGGUGGCGAAGGCGGGUCUCUGGGCCGAUACUGACGCUGAGGAGCGAAAGCGUGGGGAGCGAACAGG
rnacentral:rRNA from 1 species